AGCUCUAAUAGCGUAUAUUAAUGUUGUUGCAGUUAAAAAGCUCGUAGUUGGAUUUUGGAGUUUGACAGACGGUCUGCCUAAUGGUGUGUACUUUCUGUCGGCUCUUCUUUUCUGUGAACCUCAUUGCUCUUAAUUGAGGAGUGCUGGAACGCAGAUCGUUUACUUUGAAAAAAUUAGAGUGUUCAAAGCAGGCCAAUGCAUUGAAUACAUUAGCAUGGAAUAAUGGAAUAGGACUUUGGUCUUAUUUUGUUGGUUUCUAAGGCUGAGGUAAUGAUUAAUAGGGAUAGUUGGGGGCGUUUAUAUUCCGUUGUCAGAGGUGAAAUUCUUGGAUUUACGGAAGAUAAACUACUGCGAAAGCAUUCGCCAAGGAUGUUUUCAUUAAUCAAGAACGAAAGUACGC
rnacentral:rRNA from 1 species